rnacentral:rRNA from 1 species
CCGAUUGGGCCAKGCCAGCSGGRCGGCCUGAAGGUUGGAAGAAGGCCAGGGGCCGGGGGAKUUCCUUGGGGAGUUCGCCGGUUGUUAGCCGUUCCGUCAGUGGCUCGUCGCCCGAUCGAGGUAUCACGAGGCCCUUAGGGGCUCUCGCGCCUCCUCCCACGGAUGCUGGACGUGCCGUCGCAGGCGAAAGCCGCCGUCCUGUCGCACACCCUCAGUGUGGACCGGCGAACGGCAGGCGCUGCUGGUGACGGAGGACCAGUCGGAGGUCGGAGGCUCGCGGCGAGUAGGUCGGUCACCCACCCGACCCGUCUUGAAACACGGACCAAGGAGUCUAACAUGUGCGCGAGUCAGUGGGUCUUGAUUAUGCCCACGGGCGCAAUGAAAGCAAAGGGAGGACCACUCCUUCCGAGUUGGGAUCCCCGCUCUCGGGCGGGGCGCACCAACGACCCGUCCUAUGCGGCUCGCCGCUUGGGUGGAGUGUGAGCGUACACGUUGGGACCCGAAAGAUGGUGAACUAUGCCCGGACAGGACGAGGCCAGAG